rnacentral:rRNA from 1 species
UGCAGUCGACGAUGAACCACUUCGGUGGUGAUUAGUGGCGAACGGGUGUAGUAACACGUGGGCAAUCUGCCCUGCCUCUGGGACAAGCCCUGGAAACGGGGUCUAAUACCGGAUGACACUACGGGCCUCAUGGCCUGUGGUUGAAAGCUCCGGCGGUGCAGGAUGAGCCCGCGGCCUAUCAGUUUGUUGGUGAGGUAAUGGCUCACCAAGGCGACGACGGGUAGCCGGCCUGAGAGGGCGACCGGCCACACUGGGACUGAGACACGGCCCAGACUCCUACGGGAGGCAGCAGUGGGGAAUAUUGCACAAUGGGCGAAAGCCUGAUGCAGCGACGCCGCGUGAGGGAUGACGGCCUUCGGGUUGUAAACCUCUUUCAGCAGGGAAGAAGCGCAAGUGACGGUACCUGCAGAAGAAGCGCCGGCUAACUACGUGCCAGCAGCCGCGGUAAUACGUAGGGCGCAAGCGUUGUCCGGAAUUAUUGGGCGUAAAGAGCUCGUAGGCGGCUUGUCACGUCGGGUGUGAAAGCCCGGGGCUUAACCCCGGGUCUGCAUUCGAUACGGGCUAGCUAGAGUGUGGUAGGGGAGAUCGGAAUUCCUGGUGUAGCGGUGAAAUGCGCAGAUAUCAGGAGGAACACCGGUGGCGAGGCGGAUCUCUGGGCCAUUACUGACGCUGAGGAGCGAAAGCGUGGGGAGCGAACAGGAUUAGAUACCCUGGUAGUCCACGCCGUAAACGGUGGGAACUAGGUGUGGCGACAUUCCACGUCGUCGGUGCCGCAGCUAACGCAUUAAGUCCCCGCCUGGGAGUACGGCCGCAGGCUAAAACUCAAAGGAUUGACGGGGGCCCGCACAGCAGCGA